CGCGGGGCCGAGCGGGGCCUGAGGCCUUCCCGAGAGGACGGCGUCAAACUGCUCGCACGGCUUUAAUUGCCGGUUUGUUAUUUUAAAAAGGGAACUGGGUUUCUCGAACGUGUGCUUUUGAGACAUGGACUUGGCUCCCUGACCUCCCUCUGCGUGGAUUCUGUGAUUGCUGACCAGCUCCUGGGAAUGGGCCAAUUAUAAGCUUUAGAAAGUCACCCAGAGCAGCAGCUUUUUUGUCCUGGCAGUUCCCUCAUUUGACACGCAUACAUGGUCCAAGUGUGGGAAUUGAAGCCACCAGUAAAGAACUAGGAGGCAAAUAAAGGCAUUAUCCACUUGGACAAGAAAGAAAUCUGUGACACCAGUGAAAUAAACUGUCUUUUAGGAGCACAUCAUGAGACUGAAAUAACAGCACGAACUAAAGAUAUUUUCAGCUGCUGGUUAGGAUUUUUUUCAUAUACUAUAAAGGACUCCCUGGCAUGCUUCUCAGAGGGCUUUUAAAACAACCUGCAAGACACAAGAUAAUGGCAAAGUGCAAAAAAAAAGAAAAAGAAAAAAAAAAAAAGAGAAAAAAAAAAAGGAUGGAAUGAGAUGAAGCUGAGAAUGGAAACAAACACUAUUUUGAUUUGUCUUCACAUUGCUUACAAAGAAGAUAAAGAAAAAGGGAAAUUGUAUGUACCUUUCCCCUCCAUUACAUCAUCACUGCCAGACCCAGCAAAGCAAAUUUCUGGAGAUUUCAACAUUUAAAAAGGAUCUUCUAGUACAAGUAGAGGUUAUGAAAUCAACUGUGCUUUUUAGGAGUUGCUGAGUUUCUUUAUGCACUUUUUAAGAUAAUGAUCAGCUGGUUUAACUAUAGUUUCUUUUUGCAGUGCAUUUAAUCAGUUAAUCACUAUUAGCCAUGAAAACAUAGGAUGGUUUAAAUAAUGGUCUUAGAAGCAAGUAAAAUGGAGAACUGCAUGAUUAUUCUGUAACUAGUUUGAUCUCAGCUUCCAUAAAAAUUUAAAACUUUCAAGCUGCCUUCAAAUAGUACAUAUGUUAAAUUAUGUGCUUAAAUUAUGAUCUAAGGGGACUUUUUUGUUUACUAGUUUCCAGGAUAUUUGGAAAAAGGAUUCCAAAGGGGAAAGUAAUCAUUUUUGUACAUAUUAUACACCUACUAUUCGCUACAUUUGGCACCUAUCUACUUGUCAGACCAAAUAAAUCUAAUUCCCUAACGCACAUGUAAAAACCUAUAUAAGUGCUUUCUAAUAUUUUUAAAAGCACCAUUAAAGUUAAUCUAUAUCUGUGCUCUUACUGCCAUGUGAAUCAUGCUAAAAAUGGACUUACUAGUCUGCAAUUUCACACUAAUGUGUGCUGAUAUCUAUGGAAGACUAGUUUUGUAAGAAUUGUCAAAAUUUAUGGUAGAAACACUCCCAUGUAACACAGAAAAUAAGCUCCCCUUUGGCAUUCCUUGGACUUGUUCUCAGAUGCAGCAACCAUAUUCUGUACUCUUACUGUGUAUUAGCAUCUUGAAUGUUAAUGCUAAAGUAUACAUCUGCAUAACAUUUCCAAGAAUUUGUGCUGAAGAAAACUGUCUCAAUAUCUUUCCUCUAGUGAGGGGCCAAAACUGAACACCAGAUUUGAGUUGUGGCCUCAUCAGUGCCAAGUGCAGGGGAAUCACUGCCCUGGUCCUGCUGGCCCCAUUGUUGCUGACACAGGCCAGGAUGCCAUUGGCCUCCUUGGCCACCUGCGCACACCCUGGCUCAUGUUCAGCCGCCUGUGGACCAGCACUCCCAGGUCCUUUUCUGCUGGGCAGUUUUCCAUCCACUCUGCCCCAGCCUGUAGCACUGCCUUGUGAUCCAAGUGCAGAACCUGGCAGAGGGCCUUGUUGAACCUCAUAGUGCUGGCCUUGGCCCACCAGUUUGUCCUGUCCAGGUCCUUCUGCAGAGCCUCCAAGUCCUCCAGAAUAUCAACACUCUCAACCAACUCGAUGUCAUGUGUGAAUUUACUGAGGGUGCACCCAAUUCCCUAGUCCAGAUCAUUGGUAAAGAUAUUAAAGGAUCCAAUACUGAGCCCUUGGAUAUUAAUGAGUUUAUGGAUCCAAUAACUUCAAUACCAAAUACUUCCUAUAUAUAAACUGUAUAAUUAGAUGGAAAAAUUAUUUUUAAAGGCAAUUCUAACAUUUUUUGUAAUUUUUGUCAAUAAAACAAGAAGGACUAUAUUCCUUAAAAUUACCUUAAAUUCAAAAUGGAGCCACUUAUACUUGUUUACCAAUUGGGUUAAUAGGCCACAUUACAUAGAGGGAAGAGGAAAAUAAGAGGUAGUUUUCAACCUUUAAAAAGAUCUAACAUUAGGGAAACACUAAAGAUAGGGAAAAGUGACAUGGCAAAAUUGUAAAGUAAUACAUAAUAAUUUUUAGUCUUCCAAUGAAAAAUUCCAACCAGUGAUCAUGACAAUAGGUAACUGAAGAAUGAGAUGA